CUGAAUAACUUUGCCAAUCACACAGUCUUUGAACUGGUGAUGUAUUUUUCAAGUGUCUGCCUUAUCAACUUUCGAUGGUAGUUUACAUGCCUACCAUGGUUAUAACGGGUAACGGAGAAUAAGGGUUCGACUCCGGAGAGGGAGCCUGAGAAAUGGCUACCACAUCCAAGGAAGGCAGCAGGCGCGCAAAUUACCCACUCUUGGCUCGAGGAGGUAGUGACGAAAACUAACGAGGUGAAUCUCUAUGAGUUUCAUCAUCGGAAUGGGUACAAUACAAAACCUUUAACGAGGAACAAUUGGAGGGCAAGUCUGGUGCCAGCAGCCGCGGUAAUUCCAGCUCCAAUAGCGUAUAUUAAAGUUGUUGCGGUUAAAAAG
rnacentral:rRNA from 1 species